UACGAAGGGGGCUAGCGUUGUUCGGAAUUACUGGGCGUAAAGCGUAUGUAGGCGGAUCGUUAAGUCGGGGGUGAAAUCCCGAGGCUCAACCUCGGAACUGCCUUCGAUACUGGACGAUCUUCGAGUCCGGGAGAGGUGAGUGGAACUCCGAGUGUAGAGGUGAAAUUCGUAGAUAUUCGGAAGAACACCAGUGGCGAAGGCGGCUACACGUGCCCG
rnacentral:rRNA from 1 species